GAUGAACGCUGGUGGCGUGCCUAAUACAUGCAAGUCGAACGAAGAUCUAGCUUGCUAGAUCUUAGUGGCGAACGGGUGAGUAAUACAUAAAUAAUCUGCCCAUAUGACUGGGAUAACUAUUGGAAACGAUAGCUAAUACCGGAUAGGUUAAUCGGAGGCAUCUCUGAUGAAUUAAAGUAGGAUUUCUACACAAAUGGAUGAGUUUAUGGCGCAUUAGUUAGUUGGUGGGGUAACGGCCUACCAAGACGAUGAUGCGUAGCCGACCUGAGAGGGUGACCGGCCACACUGGGACUGAGACACGGCCCAGACUCCUACGGGAGGCAGCAGUAGGGAAUUUUCGGCAAUGGGCGCAAGCCUGGCCGAGCAACGCCGCGUGAGUGAUUAAGGCCUUCGGGUUGUAAAGCUCUGUUGUAAGGGAAGAACAUUCAGGAUAGGAAAUGAUCUUGAACUGACGGUACCUUACCAGAAAGCCACGGCUAACUACGUGCCAGCCGCCGCCGUAAUAC
rnacentral:rRNA from 1 species